rnacentral:rRNA from 1 species
CCCUUAGAUGUUCUGGGCCGCACGCGUGCUACACUGAAGGAAUCAGCGUGGCUUUCUCCCUGACCCGAAAGGGUUGGGAAACCCGUUGAAUCUCCUUCGUGAUAGGGAUUGGGGCUUGAAAUUGUUCCCCAUGAACGAGGAAUUCCCAGUAAGCGCGAGUCAUAAGCUCGCGUUGAUUACGUCCCUGCCCUUUGUACACACCGCCCGUCGCUACUACCGAUUGAACGGUUUAGUGAGGGCCUCGGAUUGGUCUCGGCCCGCUCUUUACCGGGCGGCGCCGUUGGUCGAGAAGACGCUCGAACUUGAUCGUUUAGAGGAAGUAAAAGUCGUAACA